AUUUUUGGCUGAACUAUUCCUUUAAUAUAUAAAUUAGCUUCCUUUAGUUAUAUAUUAACACUUUCAAUAGCAUUCAGUGGUCUGGAGUUAUUCAUGAGUUCAGUCAACUUCCAGCGAUGACUUGACAAAAAUUUUGCUCAUGCAUUUAAUGAGGACAUUACCGCUGGGUUUCGGGAGUGACGUACUGUUGGAGACAUGUUGCUUUGCUCCGCUGGUCCAUUCCAGACUGACGUGAUCUUUAAAGCUAAGGCCGACUGAACUCUCAAUUUCCUUUUGCUGUUACUGUUCUUGUGAUGAGGAAAUUAAAUUGAACACAUAUUAUUUCAAGUAAAAUGAGGUACGGUUGCGACAUUCACUCGGGUUUCUCUCUCGCUCAUCCGCCUGCCCUUUUCCUCCAUACAUUGUGUUAAUUAAUUUAGGGGUGGUAUCCUGAGCAAUAACUCCCUUGUUUAAUGAGAUGAGCUGCAUGUGAGGUUUUAUUGUUCAAUGGGGAGCAGUGAGCCAUAUUUCCAAUUUGUCCUCUCAUUACGAUGGCAAAUGUGCAUGGCUUCAGUCACAGGGUGACAGUAGCAGGCACUGAGCUUGAAUAACACUUCGGCAUUAGAGGUUAAUAUCUCUUUACUUGUGACAGUGGCUGGUUAUAGUCACAUGAAGCUAUGAGAGUGCUGGUGGAGAUGCCGUCUACAUGUGUCAGAUUCACUCUGUGUCACGGGAUGUUGAAGAGAUACAGGUGACACAACACUGCUGUACCUUCUCUGUGAAUGUGUGUGUUUGUUUCCUGACUUGGAAGCAAAGAGUUUGUUACACAUUGCCCUAGGAGAUGCCUGGGGAAAGGGGGUAAGAUUGUUAUCCUGCUGGGUGAAGAUCUCAGCCAGGACUGGCAUCGCUUCCCAUCUUUUCUGAGCCAUUGAAGGUUUGUCACUUUUGCUACGUCUAACUUCCUCACUUUGCUUUUCCGCUUUAGUUUAUGUCCAAUACCACCCACAUGUGUUACCAUGCCACUGUUGUAUGCUGAUAAUUUUACUUUUUUUUUAUUACACACACAUUCAUAAACGUGUGUGUGUGUGUGUGUGUGUGUAAAAACACAAAUACACUCAGUGUUGUGCAAAUGCAAAUAAUGUAAAUAAUAUGUGUACAUACAUAUACAUAUAAAUAUAUCUGGUACAUUUACACUGGUUUUCUAAACAACAAAUUUGGAACAACAUAAAACCAUGAAAGUGAGUAAA
ensembl:lncRNA